CUCCAAUCCAAUGACAAGCUCUUGGCCUGAAUUGGCGGAUGGUAGCAGUGAAUGGUGCAUUAUUCCAAUUUGUUUUGACACGACCUCCUUGAGUUGCCCAAUCAUCUGCGUUCCAUAAACUUGUAUAAAAUCUCAUGCCUUUCUUGUUUGGAAUCCCCUGGAACAAGCUUGAUGAGAGCUUCAAAGCUUCCAAAUAAGAAAUUUCGCUUUGACUUUGCUCCCGAGCCUGUGAUAACGAAAUCAUGACAAGAUGAAUUUGUUUAUUUUGCGCACAACGGUAUGAGAAAUAACAUGGAAGACAUGGUGAAAGGAAGCAAGAAGUGAUUUUUUUUUUUUUUUCUUUCAUCACCUGUGCUUUUGUCCAAAACAAGCCGAAGGUCAUCCCCUUCUAUUUUGGACUGACUAUUUCCCCAGAAAAGGACCAUGUUUUUGGACAUCUUGGCCUCAACUUGAAUGUGAUUAUACACAAUCACACACACCAAAAUGGCUAUGAAAAAGGAUCGAAACUUUGCCAUUUCAAUCCCAAUAUUUAGGAAGAUCGUCUUCCCUUUUGGGAUUGAAAUGAGAUGUUUCAAAUGUUCAAGUUUGAGAUUAUUGCUUUAUAUAGUUUUUUCCUUUCGUUUUCUUGUUUAA